rnacentral:rRNA from 1 species
GACGAACGCUGGCGGCGUGCUUAACACAUGCAAGUCGAGCGAGGCCCCUCCUUCGGGAGGGUGUCCUAGCGGCGAACGGGUGAGUAACACGUGGGCAACCUGCCCUCAGCUCUGGGAUAACUCCGGGAAACCGGGGCUAAUACCGGAUACGACCUCCACGGGCAUCUGCGGAGGUGGAAAGUUUUUCGGCUGAGGAUGGGCCCGCGGCCUAUCAGCUAGUUGGUGGGGUAGUGGCCCACCAAGGCGACGACGGGUAGCCGGCCUGAGAGGGCGACCGGCCACACUGGGACUGAGACACGGCCCAGACUCCUACGGGAGGCAGCAGGGGGGAAUAUUGCGCAAGGGGCGAAAGCCUGACGCAGCGACGCCGCGUGAGGGACGAAGGCCUUCGGGUUGUAAACCUCUUUCAGCAGGGACGAAGCGAAAGUGACGGUACCUGCAGAAGAAGCACCGGCCAACUACGU